GAGAAAAGGCUCUCGAUUCACUCUACUCUAUUCUCCCUACGUCGGCGCUCCUUCCGUCUCUCCUGUAAACCCCUAUUCCUCCCUCGGCGGUGACUCCCUCUGGCAAGGCCUCCCUCGGCGCGCUCUAUCUCGCAAACCCUCAAUCGUCGCUCCUCCCUCCAUCGCUCAGCACCCGCUGCCGUUGCCGUCUCCCUCUCCCACACUCGUCGCACCUCUGUUUCCUCUCUCAACCCUCCUCUUCGCCACCCGUUAGCGCCAACCGUCAGCCAUGUUCAGCAUUGGCAGCGCCGUGGUUUUGUUUCUAAACUUCUUGAUAUUUGGUUCUGUUCUGCUGCUGCUGUGGUAGUGCUCAGCUGCUGCUAUGUGGUGCUGAACUGCUACUGCUUUGCCUGUUCUGUUCUGCUAGUUUUUCUACAUCAUAUAAGCAGGAAGUCUUUUUGGAUUUUGCUCCAAGUUCUGUCUCAAAACUGAACGAGAAAGAUAACUACACCAGGAAGCAUUGCCAGCUCAUUGUUGUCCGAGCAUACAUGUUACCAUUGAUGCAUGUCUGGUGUUUGGUAUUACUAUUUCAUUUGUUGUAUGUUCUAAGUUUAAUUUAUUUUAGGCUUUUGAUAGUUCUUUAUCUGCUGAUGCCACUGCCACCUCUUAUAUUUUGCCUCUGCAGCAGUGUUGCUCCACUGCUGGUGAGCCAGUCUGCUGCGGUAGUCCUUCUUAACUUAGUUUUCUUCAUGCAAUAAAUCAAUAUGAAAUAUUGUUUAUUAGAGUACUUUUAGCUUGCUAUUCAAUCUUAAUCCAAAUAGUUCUAUGGAGACAAUAAAAGUAGUGGUUUUUACCAAUAUUAUUGCCAUGUCUUCACUUAUUAUGGUGUUGUUUGUUAGAUCUGUUUCAAGUAGCCUCUUUUUCAACUUCUAUGGAAAUUCAUGCCCAGUUAUAGACGUGGUUGUGAGAAAUUGCAGAGUUGCGCUGAGAGCAUACAGAGAUUGCUAGAGUCGCGCUGGGAGGCUGAGAAGACCGUGAAGAUAUGUGAGGAAGGUGGAAUCAUCAUCAAGGAAGGAGAGCGUGCAAGGGUUUUGGCUAUUCUUUGGAAGGAAAAUAGCGCCAAAAACUAUGAAAAGAAGCAAACAAGUAAGAAGGAGUAGGCCAAAGUGUUUACGAGCGCAAGAAAUCCCUCAGAAGGAGAAGACCAUGAAGACCGCCUGAGGAGCACUACUUCUACCAGAGGAUCGCCGUGCCAGGUCGUUGAAGAGAGAACUUUGGCGUGGUCUAGAAUUCAGAAUAAAUUCCCGUUGCAAGUAUAGCUUCUAAACCAAUAAAAGUCCUUUCUUACAAAAGUUUUGGUUGUCACAAGUAACAAACCCCUUUAAAAUUGAUAACCGAGUAUUUAAAUCCCGGGUCGUCUUCUCAAGGAAUUGUAGGGAAGUAUGAUUUAUUAUUGGUUAUGGAAAAAUAUAUUUUGGGAUUUUGAAAAGGGUUGAACAAAUAAUGUAAAAUAAUAAGUCGUUAAAAUAAUAACUAAUAAAGCUUUUGGCAAGGUAUGAGAACUGGA